UAAGUAGGCGAAACGAUCGCGCCCUGACGGGUGAGGAAAGUCCGAGCUCCAGAAGGCGGGUCGCCUCUGAAACAGAGGGCGGAGUAAUCCGACGGAAAGUGUCGCAGAAAACAGACUUCCAGCACUACGCUGGUAAAGGUGAAACGGUGGUGUAAGAGACCACCAGCGGUUGUGGCAACACAGCCGGCUGACAAACCCCGACCGGAGCAAGGCCAAGUAAGCAGGAAGGUGUUGCCGGCACCGUCUGACCUGCGGGUGGGCCGCAUGAGGGAGAAAGCGAUUUCUCUCCCAGAUGGAUGAUCGUAAGCGGUUGUUUUGCCUGAGUACUGUUGCAUUUUGUGAGACAAUAUUCGGGCAAAACCGGCUUGACAGAACUCGGCUUAUUGCCUGCUUAAGCC
rnacentral:RNase_P_RNA from 1 species